UAAAAAAAAUCCCUGCAAGGACAUACUUGCAGGGUCCUUCUAUAUUCCUCGAAAUAUCUAAAUGAUACAGAGGUUGAAGGCAAAGGGAGAGGAGAAACCGGAGGAAGAACUUAUGGGGAAACGUAAGUCUUCUCCGCGG
rfam:Bacillus solimangrovi strain GH2-4 NODE_16_length_85194_cov_1.7729_ID_5322, whole genome shotgun sequence.